GCUCCGUUGGUGAACCAGCGGAGGGAUCAUUACCGAGUUUACAACUCCCAAACCCCUGUGAACAUACCAUUUGUUGCCUCGGCGGUGCCUGCUUCGGCAGCCCGCCAGAGGACCCAAACCCUUGAUUUUAUACAGUAUCUUCUGAGUAAAUGAUUAAAUAAAUCAAAGCUUUCAACAACGGAUCUCUUGGUUCUG
rnacentral:misc_RNA from 1 species